GGGAAGGUUGCUCAGCGGUAGAGCACUUGCCUUGCAUGCAUGAGGCCCUGGGUUCGAUUCCUCCGCACCA
rfam:Dipodomys ordii contig_9807, whole genome shotgun sequence.